UGUAUUAUUUGCUUGGCAGUUCAUUGCCAGCCAGUAUGGAAGGCAUAUCAACGAGACUCCUGUAAUUGUUGAGGACAUAAAAAUUCAACGUUUUACAAUCCUGCCUCCAUCGGGUUGCAUCCAUUUCCAGAUCACCAUGAUGCCCAUCACUGGCGAGUUUGAAGUAUGUGAAGGUCGAGCAGUGGUCUGCAAAGGCCGUAUCCGUGUAGCCGAAGAAAGGUGAGGUGGUGCUACAGAAGGAACCUCCUGGAAAGCCUGCAGAAAGCAUCGUCUUUGAUAUGGACUGCGCGGAGAUAUACAAGGAGCUGAGGCUUCGCGGAUACCAGUACUAUGAACUAUUUCAAGGUGCCCUCAAGGCUGUCUCACAGAACCCAUACGCGAAGCUGAAGUGGCAGGACAACUGGGUGACCUUCAUGGACUCGUUGGUGCACAUGACCUUCAUAUGGAAGAGGAAAAGAGAAUUCGUGCUGCCACUCGCAAUUCAGUCGAUCCGCAUCGACCCUAAAGUUCACGCAAGAAUCACACAAAUGGUCGGAGACGAAGGU